ACAGAAGCUGUUCGAAAUAUUUACUCAGUCAUUCAUUUCCUGGUGGAUUCUGUGGUUCUCGGCUGUGUUUGAAGUCUGAGGUUUCAGUAGCCGUAUUCUCCAAGGGUUUAAAUGAAAAAAUAUGAACUAGGGAUUAAAAUAAUAAUAAAUAUUUCCAGAUCUGGAUUUAGGUGAGUGAAAAGAAAAGAUGACAGACGAAUACAAACCUGCGCUGAAGGAAAAAACAUUUAACAUAAAAGAAAAUGCCCAUGGAUUCAGAAAACAUCUAAUUCUGCAGCAGAAAAACAGUAUGGACGCACAUCGACCAAAGUUCUCUCUUGAUCCAGACGGACCUGCGGAGAAAAGAGAAAUUCAGGCAUGAGAAAGCGGCAGUUUUUCUCAUCUAACUGUUGAACAUCUAGAACAUCAUCUAACAUCUAGAAUGUUCUUCACGUCACUUUCAGUCGGUGAAUCAGAAUGAGACUGGAAUACAAAACACUAUUAUUUUCCUCUGAAAAUGCUCCUUUUUAAAAUGUUUAUGCAUGGCUAUAACUGUACCGUGUAUAGGCUAUACUUAAACUGAUUUUGAUUUAAUACUGUGUACACAGGCUUAUAUAUUUUGUCAUAAUGAUCAGACAAUGAUAAAGAAGAUGACAAAUCUUCCUCCUA